GAUAUUUCUGGUGAUAUCAGUGGUUUAGUAAGUGAUGCUCAAUCCAUAACAGCGACUUUAGGAGACCUUCCGGAUAUACUUCAAGGAGCGAUGUCCUGUCUGCAAAG